CUGUUUCAGUACUAUUUUUAAUACUCACCAUGCUGGUGUAUUUAGUGUUAAAGGAAUUGAGAGGAAAUCUAAGUGGUAAACUAAUGAUUUGCUAUCUUUUGUCAUUGACCAUGGGUUUUUGCAUUAUUAGUUUUAUUAAUAUUUCGGGUCAAAAAUUCCAUGUUCUGCCCUGCAGUAUUUUGGGUUUCACUUGUUACUUUUUCUUAAUGGCUGCCUUUUGUUGGUUAAAUGUUAUAUGUUAUGACAUUUGGAAGAAUAUCAGGGAGGUUAAUAGUGAAGUGAAUUCGGCAGAGGAUGGCAAACAGUUUAUUAUUUAUUCCCUGUACGCGUGGUUGAGUGCUGCCUUGGCAACUGGGGUUAGUGUUUGGAUAGAACUGUCUCCAAGUGUGGAUGAAAAUUAUAAGCCGGGCAUUCAUAACUUAAGAUGUUGGUUGAAUACUGAAAAAUGGUCUGCCGCAAUUUACUUCUUCGGUCCCACUCUAGUCAUUUUGUUUCUUAAUUUAUUAGCAUUCGUUCAUUUAACGGGAGUAAUCUGUAAAGUACGCUGCGAUCUGGCCAGAAUGACAACUAAAGAGAGGUUUUUUCGGGAAAAUGCAAUUAUAAUUUUUCGUUUAUAUCUUAUAAUGGGCAUAUCGUGGCUGUUCGAUGUUUUCUCGUACGUUCUGUCUAACCGUAAAGGAUGGGAGUAUUUAUUUCUUCUUUCGGAUUUCAUUAAUGCCAUUCAAGGGAUUUUGAUAUUUGUGUUGUUUGUUUUAAAACCGAAUGUUUUGAAACUAUUGAA